rnacentral:rRNA from 1 species
GACGAACGCUGGCGGCGUGCUUAACACAUGCAAGUCGAGCGGUAAGGCCCUUUCGGGGUACGACGAGCGGCGAACGGGUGAGUAACACGUGGGUGACCUCGCCCUCCAGCUCUGGGAGUAAGCCUGGGAAACCGGGUCUAAUACUGGAUAUGACUCCAUGACGCAUGUUGUGGGGUGGAAAGCCUUGUGCGGCUGAGGAUGGGCCCGGCGGCCUAUCAGCUUGUUGGUGGGGUGAUGGCCUACCAAGGCGACGACGGGUAGCCGGCCUGAGAGGGCGGACCGGCCACACUGGGACUGAGACACGGCCCAGACUCCUACGGGAGGGCAGCAGUGGGGAAUCUUGCGCAAUGGGCGAAAGCCUGACGCAGCGACGCCGCGUGAGGGAUGACGGCCU